CCGCAUAAUUGUGGCCUGUGCAGUCCUGCACAAUUACUGCAUCCGCCACCAUGUUUCCCUCGCUGAACCACCCGUUCCAGAAUCUGAGGACGAGGAAGAGGAAGAAGACGACAGGCCAACCACUGCCCGAGACACGGCCACUGGCACCGCCGUCAGGAAUGAGCUUGUGAACAGCGUUUUCAAGUGAAACUUCAGGAAAACGAGAGUCUUCAGUGCAUUAAAGAAACAGUUUAUUGUUAUU